CCGGGUCGCCCCUGAACGCCUGCCGAGCCUCCACCUGUGCCUGGAGGCCGAGGGCGAGCAGGAGGCCGAGCGCGAGGACCAGCGGCCGGAGCAGCGACGUCGAUGAGGCCAGCAUCCUGGGAGGAACACGCACCCCAUGACUAGAACGAAGCUCCGCUCACCAGUAGUGGCAUUAACGGACGUAUCCACUACCUGGGACCGUCUCGUCCGCCAACCACUAGGCUGGGAGACACCUGCUUUCGGGGACCGAGACAGCCAGGGCCGUCUCGUUCAUGUCAGCAUGGGCCGGUUCGCUCGCUGGCCGCCCCUCGAGUGUGUAGACUCUUGACUCUCACAGGGUCAAGAGCGAUCUCCCGAACAUGAAGUGCGCCUCCGACCUUAGGAGGGUCAGGCUCUGCAGCGACGGUGACGCGCAAUGCGAAGAACAUCAAUAAA